rnacentral:pre_miRNA from 1 species
GGAGGAAAAAAUGUUUCAUAGACUCGGUCUAUGUAUGCUUGACCAAUCAAGUUAGUCAGUGCAAUUGAUCCACCAUCAGAGUUGGUUAAUGCAGGGCUUACAUGAUUUGAUUGGUCUGGUUUACAUAGACUAAGUCUAUGCCACAGUUGAACUUGC